rnacentral:rRNA from 1 species
UACAGAGGGGGCAAGCGUUAUUCGGAAUUAUUGGGCGUAAAGGGCGCGUAGGCGGCUUCGCAAGUGGAAGGUGAAAUCCCUCGGCUUAACCGAGGAACUGCCCUCCAAACUGCGUUGCUUGAGGCCGGGAGAGGUGAGUGGAAUUCCCAGUGUAGCGGUGAAAUGCGUAGAUAUUGGGAGGAACACCAGUGGCGAAGGCGGCUCACUGGACCGGUUCUGACGUUGAGGCGCGAAAGCGUGGGGAGCAAACGGG